AGUGAACGCUGGCGGUAGGCCUAACACAUGCAAGUCGAACGGCAGCACAGUAAGAGCUUGCUCUUACGGGUGGCGAGUGGCGGACGGGUGAGGAAUACAUCGGAAUCUACUUUUUCGUGGGGGAUAACGUAGGGAAACUUACGCUAAUACCGCAUACGACCUACGGGUGAAAGCAGGGGAUCUUCGGACCUUGCGCGAUUGAAUGAGCCGAUUUCGGAUUAGCUAGUUGGCUGGGUAAAGGCCCACCAAGGCGACGAUCCGUAGCUGGUCUGAGAGGAUGAUCAGCAACACUGGAACUGAGACACGGUCCAGACUCCUACGGGAGGCAGCAGUGGGGAAUAUUGGACAAUGGGCGCAAGCCUGAUCCAGCCAUACCGCGUGGGUGAAGAAGGCCUUCGGGUUGUAAAGCCCUUUUGUUGGGAAAGAAAAGCAGCAGGUUAAUACCCCGCUGUUCUGACGGUAACCAAAGAAUAAGCACCGGCUAACUUCGUG
rnacentral:rRNA from 1 species